rnacentral:rRNA from 1 species
ACACAUGCAAGUCGAACGGAAAGGCCCUGCUUUUGUGGGGUGCUCGAGUGGCGAACGGGUGAGUAACACGUGAGUAACCUGCCCUUGACUUUGGGAUAACUUCAGGAAACUGGGGCUAAUACCGGAUAGGAGCUCCUGCUGCAUGGUGGGGGUUGGAAAGUUUCGGCGGUUGGGGAUGGACUCGCGGCUUAUCAGCUUGUUGGUGGGGUAGUGGCUUACCAAGGCUUUGACGGGUAGCCGGCCUGAGAGGGUGACCGGCCACAUUGGGACUGAGAUACGGCCCAGACUCCUACGGGAGGCAGCAGUGGGGAAUAUUGCACAAUGGGCGGAAGCCUGAUGCAGCAACGCCGCGUGCGGGAUGACGGCCUUCGGGUUGUAAACCGCUUUCGCCUGUGACGAAGCGUGAGUGACGGUAAUGGGUAAAGAAGCACCGGCUAACUACGUGCCAGCAGCCGCGGUGAUACGUAGGGUGCGAGCGUUGUCCGGAUUUAUUGGGCGUAAAGGGCUCGUAGGUGGUUGAUCGCGUCGGAAGUGUAAUCUUGGGGCUUAACCCUGAGCGUGCUUUCGAUACGGGUUGACUUGAGGAAGGUAGGGGAGAAUGGAAUUCCUGGUGGAGCGGUGGAAUGCGCAGAUAUCAGGAGGAACACCAGUGGCGAAGGCGGUUCUCUGGGCCUUUCCUGACGCUGAGGAGCGAAAGCGUGGGGAGCGAACAGGCUUAGAUACCCUGGUAGUCCACGCUGUAAACGGUGGGUACUAGGUGUGGGGUCCAUUCCACGGGUUCCGUGCCGUAGCUAACGCUUUAAGUACCCCGCCUGGGGAGUACGGCCGCAAGGCUAAAACUCAAAGGAAUUGACGGGGCCCCGCACAAGCGGCGGAGCAUGCGGAUUAAUUCGAUGCAACGCGUAGAACCUUACCUGGGUUUGACAUGGAUCGGGAGUGCUCAGAGAUGGGUGUGCCUCUUUUGGGGUCGGUUCACAGGUGGUGCAUGGCUGUCGUCAGCUCGUGUCGUGAGAUGUUGGGUUAAGUCCCGCAACGAGCGCAACCCUUGUUCACUGUUGCCAGCACGUUAUGGUGGGGACUCAGUGGAGACCGCCGGGGUCAACUCGGAGGAAGGUGGGGAUGACGUCAAGUCAUCAUGCCCCUUAUGUCCAGGGCUUCACGCAUGCUACAAUGGCUGGUACAGAGAGUGGCGAGCCUGUGAGGGUGAGCGAAUCUCGGAAAGCCGGUCUCAGUUCGGAUUGGGGUCUGCAACUCGACCUCAUGAAGUCGGAGUCGCUAGUAAUCGCAGAUCAGCAACGCUGCGGUGAAUACGUUCCCGGGGCUUGUACACACCGCCCGUCAAGUCAUGAAAGUUGGUAACACCCGAAGCCGGUGGCCUA